UACGUAGGCAGCGAGCGUUGUUCGGAGUUACUGGGCGUAAAGAGUGCGUAGGCGGUUUUCUAAGUUUGGUGUGAAAUCUCCCGGCUUAACUGGGAGGGUGCGCCGAAGACUGGAAGGCUUGAGUAUGGGAGAGGUAAGCGGAAUUCCUGGUGUAGCGGUGAAAUGCGUAGAUAUCAGGAGGAACACCCGCGGUGUAGACGGCUUACUGGACCAUAACUGACGCUGAGGCACGAAAGCGUGGGUAGCAAACAGG
rnacentral:rRNA from 1 species